AGGACGAACGCUGGCGGCGCGCUUAACACAUGCAAGUCGAACGUGAAGCUGGAGCUUGCUCCGGUGGAAAGUGGCGAACGGGUGCGUAACACGUGAGCAACCUGCCCCGAAGACUGGGAUAACACCGGGAAACCGGUGCUAAUACCGGAUACCUUCUUCCGAUCGCAUGGUUGGAUGAAGAAAUGGAUUCCGCUUCGGGAUGGGCUCGCGGCCUAUCAGCUUGUUGGUGAGGUAACGGCCCACCAAGGCGACGACGGGUAGCUGGUCUGAGAGGACGACCAGCCACACUGGGACUGAGACACGGCCCAGACUCCUACGGGAGGCAGCAGUGGGGAAUCUUGCUCAAUGGGCGAAAGCCUGAAGCAGCGACGCCGCGUGCGGGAUGAAGGCCUUCGGGUUGUAACCGCUUUCAGCAGGGACGAAAUUGACGGUACCUGCAGAAGAAGGCCCGGCCAACUACGUGCCAGCAGCCGC
rnacentral:rRNA from 1 species